GAAGGUCUCUAAACAGGCCAGUAUAGAUGCACUGGAUACUCACCAAUGAGCUCAGAUUUUUAAAAGAUGUGUACAAGGGACAGAAUGGAGAGCAGGGUAUCAGAGAAUAUCUUUUUUUUAUUAUUUGUAUCUAUAAAUAAUUAAAAUAAUGUCAGGAAGUCCAAAACUUAUUAUUAUCUGAGGAUUGAGAUAAAUGAUCAAAACAACCAAAAAGAGCUUUUUAACUGUUAUGUUGAGUACAAGAGGAAGAUCAAGGAAGGGAGAAGUAACCUUCUCAGAGUGGGUGUGAAUAUGAUCAUGAAGACAGACCUACACAAAUCCCUAUUUUACUCUAUUUCCUGUACCAAGGAAAAGGCCCUUCAGACUGAGGAGGAAAUAGUUAAUAGAAAACUGGACUUCAGAUUCAUUCAGCAGCACUUGAGUGGACACAAAGGCAUCAGAUGUUGGGGGUGAUCCAAUGUUGGGGUUCGAAAAGGCUUUGCCCCAGAAUUCCUGAUGAUCCCUGCCUCAGCUAUCCACUUCACGUUGCCACUGAGACCAAGCCACUGCCUCUAACUGAACUGUCCUGAAGUCCCAGACGUUUCUUUAUCAAUCUGACACUGCGUCACAACUUAUCAUUCAACCGUUCCCAGCUGCUAACUUUACACACGUUGGACUUAGACCAAUCAUUCUCCGCACAUUUCUCUCUGAAUUAAAUUGUGUGUGAAAAUUAUUUUUUGUUGACUUUUGUGGAUACCUUCCGCAAACAACAAAAGGGCAGAUUUCAACUGGCCACUGCCAAAAUGGCCCUACGUCCCAUCUGUUGACUGCACAUAACUUUCAGACUUUUAUUAUCCUCAGAAAUGGGCAACUCAUUUUAUGGUGUUAACUAAAAAGCUCCAGUCAGUAAAAAGCAGCUCUCACUGACCUUG